UACGUAGGGUGCGAGCGUUGUCCGGAAUUACUGGGCGUAAAGGGUGCGCAGGCGGUUUUGCAAGUCAGGCGUGAAAUCCCCGGGCUUAACCUGGGAAUGGCGCUUGAAACUACGGGACUGGAGUAUGGCAGAGGGAGGUGGAAUUCCACGUGUAGCGGUGAAAUGCGUAGAGAUGUGGAGGAACACCGAUGGCGAAGGCAGCCUCCUGGGCCAAUACUGACGCUCAUGCACGAAAGCGUGGGGAGCAAACAGG
rnacentral:rRNA from 1 species